GAAUUUUGGACAAUGGGCGAAAGCCUGAUCCAGCAAUGCCGCGUGCAGGAUGAAGGCCUUCGGGUUGUAAACUGCUUUUGUACGGAACGAAAAGCUUUGGGUUAAUAGCCAGGAGUCAGGACGGUACCGUAAGAAGAAGCACCGGCCAACUAAGAGCAAGAAGCCGCGGUAAUACGUAGGGUGCAAGCGUUAAUCGGAAUUAAUGGGCGUAAAGCGUGCGCAGGCGGUUUUGUAAGACAGAGGUGAAAUCCCCGGGCUCACCCUGGGAACUGCCUUUGUGACUGCAAGGCUAGAGUACGGCAGAGGGGGGUGGAAUUCCGCGUGUAGCAGUGAAAUGCGUAGAUAUGCGGAGGAACACCGAUGGCGAAGGCAACCCCCUGGGCCUGUACUGACGCUCAUGCACGAAAGCGUGGGGGGCAAACA
rnacentral:rRNA from 1 species